UUAGAUAUUAAUUUAGAAUCCUCUAAAUGUAAUUAGAUCUACUAUUGUAAUUUGUUGAUCUGAAUUGAUCUGCAAGUAUUUUCAUUUUGAGUUUCCGGUAAACUCUUUGUUUCCUUUCAUGUGUCCAACCAAUUAUUAUUGGGUUAUUCACCAUGGCAACCAGUGAAAUGUAUUUCUGAGUUAGGUUGGCUUGUUUUCAGAAUUCACAACGAAAUGCCUCCAGCUGUCCAUCACCACUGUAAAUAUAAAGAGUGGUUAUAGAGGAAAAAACGUCAGAAAGCAAAUUCAGUUGAUGUGGAGCAGAAGACAAGAAAGAAGAAGGAGAGGGGCACUUCAUCCCCCUCUCCAAUUCCAUCUGACCGUUCUGAACGGAAUGGCUCCGCUACCUCUGACCCCUCACCCUCUGACCAACUCUCCUCCCUCCAUCCACCUCCCUCUCCUGUUAAAUGUUCCUCUCAGCCUUGCUCUCCUGCUAAACAACUCUUUGUACCCCGGUCACCUGCCAAAAACCCUUCCCCAGUGAAUUCCUCUCCAGUGGUGUCCCACCCUAGUUCUCCCUCUCCUACCAACCCUCUGGACCGUCAUGGAGACACCAGUCAGGAGGGCACAACAGUCAGACCUCUGUCUCUUCAGGAACACUCUAGUCCAAUGCCCCAGAGACCAGUCUCAGCCACCAGAAGCAUGACUCUUCCCAGGGCCAGCUCAGCCACCAGAAGCAUGACUCUUCCCAGGGCCAGCUCAGCCACCAGAGGGUCAGAAGAGACCCAGGGGGCCAGAGGAGAACGGGGGGAACUGGUCAACAUGGAACUUCUUGGGUUGCCUAACAUUGGCAACACUUGCUUCCUUAACGCCACCCUGCAGUGCCUCCUGGUCCUGCCUUCCUUCUCAAAGGAAAUCCUGCACCAGGAACAACUCUGGAGCUCCUCCCCCUUCUCCAAUCUGCUCAGGUGUCUGUCUGAUGUGCACCGUUCGGGUUUACCUGACAGUGUGGCAAACCAGGCCUCAAAAGCAGACCUCAUGUGGAAGGUCAAGUACUCCUUGUCGGGAUACGAUUUGAAGUAUCUGGGGGACACGCAACAGGACGCACACGAGUUACUUGUCAAUAUGCUGUGCCAGCUGAAGGAGGAGGGCAUGAUUCUGAAGACACUCGGGAUGAACUAUACCUGCCCUGUUUCCCAGCUGGAGUUCCAGCUUGUGUCGGUGCGCACAUGUACCAGCUGUGGGCGCGAGUCGUCCACCAGAGAGGACUACAACCACCUCUCAUUGGACAUCAGCCCUGAGCGCACCUUGCUGAACAGCCUAGCACUCACUUUCAAAAGUGAACAGGUUGAAUUCACAUGUGAGGGCUGUAAAGGCCUCCACGCCUCAAAGGUGGAGCAGUUCCACACACUGCCUCUUGUGCUGGUUCUGCAUCUGAAGAGGUUUGGAGGACCUGGGGGGUUGGAGAAGCUGGAGGCUCCUUUUUUGUUUCCUUCGGAGCUGAGGCUCUCCACCCUCUGUGGGGACAUGGUGCCACACCUGCACAGUGCCAGCCCACAGGCCCUCACCAACCAGGCCCCCAGCAUCCAGGGGUCCAUCCCCCAGACCCUCGCCAGCCAAGUCUCCAGAACACCUGGAGCGGCAAAAGACAGCGCCCUCUGCUGUUCAGAAGCAGAAGCCAGUACAGUCAGUGAAUGGUUACUACCAGCUGACUGGCGUAGUCUCUCAUUUGGGAGGCUCCGCAAACUCCGGGCACUACAUUAGUGACAUAUUGCAUGCCAGUGGAAACUGGUUCUGCUGUAAUGACAGCCAGGUGUCAAUGUCCAAUGAAGCCACUGUGCUGAGGACCAGAGCCCGGAGUGCCUACAUGCUCUUCUAUAUGUUCAGGGCAAUAGAGCGGGAGGCCCCAGCACACAGGGCCUAACAGGGCCACCAGCAUCAGCCCCAGCCUAAACAGGGGCAGCACCUGGACCAGCCUCCAAACACUCACACACCUGCCUCAAAAGGGGUAGCACUUGGCCCAACAUCAACAACCCCGAGCCCAGCCACAACAGGGGCAGCACUGGGCCCAACAUCAACACACCCAGCCCAGCCUCAACAUGGGAAGAACCAGGCCCAGUCUCAACAUGGGCAGAACAAGACCCAGCCCCAACACCCUCAGACUUGCCUCAAUGAUGUGAUUGAGAUGCUUAAUAUCAACGAUGUUUACAAUGACGCCACACCCUUACUGUACCAUUGUGACCUGUCACUAUUAAAGGCUGUGUGACGUGA